AGGUUACUGCUAUCGGUGUUCGCCUAAGCCAUGCGAGUCAUAUGUUCGUAAGAACAUGGCGUACUGCUCAGUAACACGUGGAUAACCUGCCCUUGGGUCCGGCAUAACCCCGGGAAACUGGGGAUAAUUCCGGAUAACGCACAUAUGCUGGAAUGCUUUAUGCGUAAAAUGGAUUCGUCUGCCCAAGGAUGGGUCUGCGGCCUAUCAGGUAGUAGUGGGUGUAAUGUACCUACUAGCCUACGACGGGUACGGGUUGUGAGAGCAAGAGCCCGGAGAUGGAUUCUGAGACAUGAAUCCAGGCCCUACGGGGCGCAGCAGGCGCGAAAACUUUACAAUGCGGGAAACCGUGAUAAGGGGACACCGAGUGCCAGCAUCCUAUGCUGGCUGUCCGGGUGUGUAAAAUACACCUGUUAGCAAGGGCCGGGCAAGACCGGUGCCAGCCGCCGCGGUAACACCGGCGGCCCGAGUGGUGAUCGUGAUUAUUGGGUCUAAAGGGUCCGUAGCCGGUUUGGUCAGUCCUCCGGGAAAUCUGACAGCUUAACUGUUAGGCUUUCGGAGGAUACUGCCAGACUUGGAACCAGGAGAGGUAAGAGGUACUACAGGGGUAGGAGUGAAAUCUUGUAAUCCCUGUGGGACCACCUGUGGCGAAGGCGUCUUACCAGAACGGGUUCGACGGUGAGGGACGAAAGCUGGGGGCACGAACCGGAUUAGAUACCCGGGUAGUCCCAGCCGUAAACGAUGCUCGCUAGGUGUCAGCAUGGCGCGACCGUGUCUGGUGCCGCAGGGAAGCCGUGAAGCGAGCCACCUGGGAAGUACGGCCGCAAGGCUGAAACUUAA
rnacentral:rRNA from 1 species